rnacentral:rRNA from 1 species
AGGACGAACGCUGGCGGCGUGCUUAACACAUGCAAGUCGAGCGAGGCCCCUCCUUCGGGAGGGUGUCCUAGCGGCGAACGGGUGAGUAACACGUGGGCAACCUGCCCUCAGCUCUGGGAUAACCCCGGGAAAACCGGGGCUAAUACCGGAUACGACCUCCACGGGCAUCUGCGGAGGUGGAAAGGUUUUCCGGCUGAGGAUGGGCCCGCGGCCUAUCAGCUAGUUGGUGGGGUGAUGGCCCACCAAGGCGACGACGGGUA